rnacentral:lncRNA from 1 species
CAACACCGCCUACCAUAUAAGGCCUCAUAAGGAGCCAUCUGAAUACUCGAUUGGUAACUGUUGUUGUAGGAAAACUCUAUAAGUGGUAGAAACUGAUCCUAAGAACCCCCGAAAUCCAUAACGCAAGCCCGUAGCAUAUACUCCAAUAUCUGAAUGGUGCACUCGGACUGUUCGUCCGUCUGAGGGUGGAAUGUUGUACUCAACUCAACCCGUAUGCCAAACUCUCAUUGCACUGCUUUCCAAAACUAUGAUUUAAACUGUGUGCCGUGAUCAGAAAUAAUGGACACCGGCACAUCGUGAAGACGAACAAUCUCGUAGAUAUAGAUCUUAGCCAACGACUCAGAAUAAUAGGUAGUCACCACUGGAAUAAAAUGCGGUCCACAAUCACCCAAAUAACAUCAAAUUUCUUCAAAGUUCGUGGGAGGUCAACAACAAAGUCCAUGGUAAUACGUUCCCAUUUCCACUCAGGAAUCUCAUGCCUCUAAAGCAAAACGCCCGGCCUCUGAUGCUCGUACUUCACCUGCUGACAUGUAAAGCAUCGAGCAACAUACCCCACUAUAUCCUUCUUCAUUCCUCUCCACCAAUAGUGAUGCCUCAAAUCCUGAUACAUCUUCGUGGCACCUGGAUGAAUGGAAUACCGCAAAAUAUAGGCCUCCUCAAGCAUUAAAUCACGUAACCCAUCCACAUUGGGCACACAAAUCUGACCCUACAUCCGCAACACCCCAUCAUCUCCAAUAGAAACCUCCUUGGAAUCACUAUAUUGUACUAUUUCCUUAAGGACAAGCAAAUAGAGGUCAUCAUACGGACGCUCUCUGAUGCGAUCAUUUAAAGAAGACCGAGAAACCAUGCAAGCUAGAACUCGUCUAGGCUAUGAAACAUCUAACCUCGUGAACUGAUUGGCCAAGGCCUGAACAUCUAAUGCAAGCGGUCUCUCACCAACAAUAAUAUAUGCAAGGCUACCCAUACUCACCACCUUUCUACUCAAGGCAUCGGCCACCAUAUUGGCCUUCCCGGGAUGAUACAAAAUUGUAAUAUCAUAGUUUUUAACAGCUCCAACCAUCUUCGCUGUCACAAAUUUAGAUUCUUUAGCUUGAAAACGUGAUGUAGACUCCGAUGAUCUGUAAACACCUCACAAGACACACCGUAGAGAUAAUGCCUCCAAAUCAUCAAUGCAUGAACAAUGGCUGGCAACUCUAAAUCAUGAACGGGGCAUUUCUUAUCAUGGGGCUUCAACUGGCGUGAAGCAUAAGCAAUCACCCUACCCUCUUGCUUCAAGACACACCCAAUACAAUUUUGAGAAGCAUCACAAUACAUUGUAUAUGAACCCGAUGCUGAAGGUAAAACUAGAACCAGAGAUGUGGUCAAGGCAGUCUUGAGCUUCUGAAAGCUCUCCUAACAUUCAUCAGACCACUUGAAUAGGGCACCUUUCUGGGCUAAUCUAGUUAAGGGUGCAGCAAUGGAUGGGAAACCCUCCACGAAACGGCGAAAAUAUCUGGCCAAGCCAAGAAAACUCUGAAUCUCAGUAGCUAAAGACGGUCUGGGCAAACUCUGAACUACUUCAAUCUUCUUUGGAUAUACAUUGAUACUCUCACUGGAAACCACGUGCCCCAAGAACACCAAAGAAUCAAGCCAGGACUCAUACUUGGAGAAUUUAGCAUAAAUCUUCUUCUCCCUCAAUGUUUGUAGUACAAUCCUCAGAUGUCGUGCAUGCUCCUCCUUGCUACGUAAGUACACCAGUAUGUCAGCAAUGAAUACUAUAACGAAAGAAUAAAGAUAUGGCUAUAAUACAUUGUUCAUCAGUUUCAUAAAUGUUGUUGGGGCAUUAGUCAUCCCAAAAGACAUCACAAGGAACUCGUAGCGACCACAGCGGGUCGUGAAUGUUGUCUUCAGGAUAUCAGAAUCCGGAAUCUUUAACUGGUGAUACCCAGACCUCAAAUCAAUCUUAGAGAACAUCUAGCUCCCUGAAGCUGGUCAAAUAUAUCAUCAAUGCACGGUAGUGGGUACUUAUUCUUAAUUGGAACUUUACUCAACUGCCUAUAAUCUAUGCACAUUCGCAUAGUACCAUCAUUCUUUUUCACAAAGAAAACCAAUGCACCCCAAGGCGACACAUUAGGCCCAAUGAACCCCUUAUCAAGAAGCUCUUAAAGCUGCUCUUUUAAUUCCUUCAACUCUACCGGUGCCACAUGAUACGGAGGAAUAGAACUGGGCUGAGUGCCUGACACUAAGUCAAUACCAACAUCAAUGUCCCUGUCGGGUGGCAUGCCCGACAGGUCUGCAGGAAACACGUCCAGAAAGUCUCACACUACCGGAACAACAUCAAAUGGUAGGAGUGUCAGCACCAACAUCCCUCACAAAAGCCAAAUAUGCCAAACAUCCCUUCCCAAUAAUCCGCUGGGCCUUCAAAUAUGAGAUUACCCUACUAGGAAUCCCAACUUUCCCAAUCAUCCGUUGGACCUCUCCACUAAAUCUUAGGCAAUCCCGACUUUGCCAACGUCACUGUCUUAGCAUGAUAAUCCAGAACAUCAUGAUACAGGGACAACCAAUACAUGCCUAGAAUUAUGUCAAAAUCACCCAUAAUAAGCAGUAAGAGAUCAAGUCUCAUCUCUAGUCCCCCAAUAGUCACCAUACCCGACCAGUACACAUAGUCCACAAUAAUAGAGUCACCCACCGACAUAGAUACAUGAACAAGCGUAACUAAUGAAUCACGAGCCAUAUCUAAUGAGAAAAAUAUGAUAAUAUAUAUGAAUAAGUAAAACCAGGGUCAAGUAAUAUUGAAGCAUCCAUGUGGUAAACUGAAACAAUACUUGUGAUCAUGACGUCUAAAGCAACAGCAUCUAGCCUAGUGGGAAAAGUAUAGCAUCGAGCCUGACUACGACAUGAUCGACCUCCCCUCUAGGGCGAGCUCAAGCUGCCUGAGUCCCACCCCGAGCUGGCUGAGCGGGUAGUGAAGUAAUUGGUGCGGAAGUAAUAGCCUUUCGCUCUACUGAAUUGAACUACCCAUAAGACGAGGACAAAACCUCAACAUAAGCCCCAACUCUCCGCACUCAAAGCAACCUCGAUCUAAUAACGGCGGCGGGGACUGAAUCGGACCCCGAGUACUAGAAUAACCACAAGAGUAACUGGUACAGAUGAACCCUGAACUGAUGAAGCACAGGAUGAAAUCUGAGCUGGGAGGGAACUAAAAUAUGACUUACUCGGACGAGCACUAUAUGAACCAUGGCUAGCUAAUACACCACGAUGAACCAGAUAAGCCAUUUGAGCGGUCCUAUCAGGACGACCCCUGUUGUGGUAGGACUGUCCUCCAGAUGAGGCACUGCUGAAGCCACCCAAACCAUGAGGCAUCUUUGCCUCCUCUCCUCAUGCUCCUAACUGCGAACCUGCUCUAGGCACCUAGCAAUGUCAACUACCUUGUCAAACCUCGCAACCAACGUAAUCUCCCGAGUCAUGAUGAAAUGUAAUCCAUAGUUGAGGCCAUCAAUGUACCUCCUAAUCCUCUCCCUCUCGGUGAGAACAAACCAUAUUGCGUGACGAGCUAAGAACCUCAUCUCAUACGGGGUCACUAACAUGCUCUCCUGGCUUAGCUACUCAAACUGCCUACGAAACUCCUCCGUGCGAGUCUGUGGAACAAACUACUCUAAGAAGAGAACUGAGAACUGAUGACACGUAAGUGGUGCAGUGCAGGCUGGCCUGAUCAACUCAUAGGCCUCCUGCCAUUCGAAUGCUUCCACCGACAACUGAAAAGUAGUAAAUGAGACUCCACUGCUCUCUAGAAUACCCGCCAUGCAAAGAAUCCGCUGGCACCCGUCUAAGAAAUCCUAAGCAUCCUCUUACUCAGCCCCAGUGAACACUAGACUCCUAAGCCUACAAAAUUCGCUUAGCCUCUUCUGCUCCUCGUCAAUCAUAGGUGGACUAACCUGGGCCUGAGCAGCUGCAACCGACUAGGCUGGUAGUACCCCCUGUGUCUGAAGUCCUUGAGCCAUUUGCUCUAGAGUACGGGCGGAGGGAGUUUGUGCACCUCCCCCAGCCUGAGAAGUGGCUCGUACAGCCGGAACUGAGACUGCCUGAGCCAGACUUGUUCAUACAGUCAAUAUCUAGGCCAAAGCCUUCUAAAGGCCUAGAAUCAUAAUAGGCACAGUUGGUGAUUGAGCUGGUCCCACUAGCUAAACUACAUCUUGUAUUUUCUCCUGAGGUAGAACAACUGGUGGCUCCACAUGUGUUGCUCUAGCUGCAGUACGAGCUGCACCUCGACCUCUACCGCGGCCCCGGCCUAUUGCAACCUUAUCUGGUGGUACUGGUGGACGUCUGCUUGAUCCUUUCGCACAUGUCCUCACCAUUUAUGAGAGAAUAGAAUAAUAGAAGUUUAGUUUACGGAAUCAAUAAAUCCGCAUGACAAGAAUACAAGAAAGUGAGGUUUCCUUAUGUUUCGGUAGCCUGUUGAAGAUAAGUACAGACGUCUCCGUACAGAUCCGUAAGACUCUACUAAACCUUCUCAUGACUCGUGAGGCCUAUGUAACCUAGUGCUCUGAUACCAACUUGUCAUGAUCCCAAAAUCUCAACCUGUCAUGAUGGCACCUAACAUAUUACUAGGCAAGCAAAUAAUCAUAUAACAACUACGCAUUUGAAUUAAAAACAUGAUUUAAUAAGUUCAACAGAGGGAAAUCUCAUAAAUAACUGAUAAAAAAACAACUGCAACUCAAUUACAAAAAUCCCAAAAUCCUGGUGUCACCGAGUACAUGAGCUACUAAGUGCCAACAUAGUCUGAAACUCUAGUACAAAUGUCAGAGAAAAAAUAGAAUAGUACUAAAAUGAAAUGAAAGGAAGGAGAGUCAAGGUUUGCGGGCAUCAUAGCUGCUACCUUGAAGUCUCCGAACAGGUACUAGCACCACUCUAGCAAUUACCGCAUCCAGAUGUACUUGGAUCUGCACACGAAGUGCAGAGUGUAGUAUGAGUAUAACUGAUCCAAUGUACUCAAUAAGUAACAGGACUAACCUUGGGCUGAAAGCAGUGACGAGCUUAGAAUGAUACAGUCCAAAUCAAAAUAAUGACAACACAGAUAUAACAGGACAAUGACAGUAAUAACUCACAGAAACUUUUGUAUUUAGUUCGUUCAUAGUACAGAAAUUUAGGCAUGCUUUCAUGUUCAACAAUUUAAGCCUGCCACUGAUAAAAUAUGCCAAAUACAGCUAGCACGAGGAAUGUUACAUCUUUAUGCCUACAUGUCAAAUAUACAUGUCAAAUGUAAUGUAUCAUAGUGAUAAUCCCAGGUACUCACACUCUCAGAGUACUCAAUCUGUCUAUCUCAUUUCCCACUCAUCACAAACAAUCACUCAGCAUUGUACGGGUGCCUGGCAUCAAUUCCCCUCACCAAAGCACAUGUAUAUAAAUCACUGUGUCUGCGCUCAAUGCUGGUAUGUCAGACUCCGGAGGGGUGGAUCCUUUCCAAGUGCUAAUAUAAAGCCUAUUAGGCCUGUUGCGAUGUACAACCCAAUACACAAUAAUAAGUAAAAUAUGAUAUGCAUUAUGAUAUGCAUUAUGAAUAAACAUGAUUGAGUACAUGAUUGCAGUUUAUGCAAAUAACUCAACAGUAGAAAUAACCUUAGUGGGUCCCAACAGAAUAAGCACAUAGCCUAAACAUUAUCUCUAACAUGAAUCAUAGCUCAAUUACUCUAACAUGUAGGAAUUACACAGAUAAAGCAAGACUAGGCAACUACAUAGUACCAUAGAAUCAACCGAGUAAUAAUUAUCACGGUGCACGCCUACACGCCCGUCACCUAGUAUGUGUGUCACCCCAACACCAACCAUACAACAUAUAUUUCGGGAAUCCAUACUGUCAGUACCAAGUUUAGGAGUGUUACUUACCUCAAAUGGCGCAAUUCAAUGCUCCAACAAACCUUUGCCUUGCGAAUCGGCCUUAGAACAACUUGAAUCUUAUCACAAACAACUUAAUACAAUCAAUACAAACUAUAGGAAUUGAUCCCAUAUGAUAAAGCUAAGUUCUUUAACCAAGAUCAAAAAGUCAGCCCAAAGAGUCGGAACCCGAAAAAAUUUAUAAAAUCCUAACACCCAUUCAAUAAUGAGUCCAACCAUACCAAAAUCAUUCAAAUCUUACUCUCCAAUACCUAGUCUAAAAUCUCUCAAAUUUUACCUAAAAAAACACAAUCUAGGUGAGAAAAUCAAUGGGUAUUCAAUAUUAAUAGACAAAAGUGAUCAAAAGCUGCUUACCUCUUGAUUUGUAGUAAAAUCCCUCACAAAACUCUCCCCUAGCCUAGAUCCACAAGCCAAAUUAUGAAAUAAUACUCUAAUCCUCGUUUUGGAAUUUUAAAUAGUCUACCUAGAUGUUCCCCUUCGCGAUCGCGAAGAACAAAAUUUACUGCCCUCAAGAAAUGGUCUACCCGAACGCAAACUACUAGUCGUGAAUGCAACGCUCAGUAACCCAAUCCUACGCGAUCACAAAAAAGGACACACGAUCGCGAAGAACAAACGCGUGAAAUUCCCAAACAUCCUCUCUUUUUUUGCGGACGCGUCCCAUCACUCGCGUUCGCGAUGCAUAACUAACCAAAGCUCCGCGAUUGCAUCAUCAAACUUGCGAAUGCGUUGAAGAAUAUCCUCUUUCCGGAAUUAACCCUACGCGAUCGUGACUCUUUUCACGCGAUCGCAUAAGGGGAAGCCAGAUACUAGAAAAAUCAGCAAUUCUAUAAGGCCAAACUCAAUCUGAAAUCAAUCUAAAUCACACCUGAGGCCCCCGGGACCCUGUCCAAACAUACCAACACAUCCUAAAAUAUCAUACGAACGUAGUCUAAGCCUCUAAUCACACCAAAUAAUAUCAAAAACACAAAUCGCACCCUAAUUUAAGCAUAUUCAAACUAAUGGAUUUCCAACUUGCAAAAGCAAUGUCGAAACCUAUCAAACCAAUUCCAAUUUACCUCAAACUUUGCACACAAGUCAUAAAUGACACAACGGAUCUACUCUAACUUCUGGAACCAAAAUCUGAGCCCGGUAUCAAAAAAAUCAACUCUCGGUCAAACUUCUCAACUUUCUAACUUUUGACAAUUUAAGCCAAAACGUCCUACGGACCUCCAAAUCAAUAUUCGUAUAUACUCCUAAGUCCAAAAUCACCAUAUGAAGCUAUAUGAACCAUCAGAACUCCAUUUCAGAGUUGUUUACUCAUAAGUCAACAUCUGGUCAACUCUUUCAACUUAAGUUUCCAACCUUGUGACUAAGUGUCCGAAUUCAUUUCGAAACAUUCCCGGAACUAAACCAACCACCCCCGAAAAUUAUAAUUAUAAAUAAACAUAGAAUAACCAAUAAAUGGAGAAAUGGGACUACAAUACUAAAGACAACUGGCCUGGGCGUUACAUGUUUAGUGCUUGAUAUUAUGGUUGUAUAAUAUCUCAACGGACAAGGAUAAAGCUUUAAAAGCACCAAGAAAGCCAUUCACAAAGUCUCAAGCUAAGGAAAAGCAAGACAAGGUUGUUGGGCUUCAAUGGGAGAUCAAGAAGACGCUAAUGGUGGAAGAAGAGCUCAAGAAUUAUGGAGAGGAUUAAGCUAAGUUCUACACUCAUUUCAUGGUCCAAGUCCAAGUCCAAGAGGAGAUCGAUUGGGGUCCAAGCACCAGCCAAGGAGGGCCUAAAUUAGGUGCCUAAAUCAACCCACAAAGGAGCUAACUUGGCGCCUAAGUCAACGCAAGGGGGGCGGCCAAGACAUAGGAGAAGGAGUCAAAGUUCCUUAUUUUUUUCCCUAGUUUAUUCGGACACAUUUGAUGCUUUCUUAGGUAGUUAAGGUUUUGUUUUUCUUUUCCUAAGAUUAUUGGAAUUACUUUCUAAGAUUGACUUGAUUUUUAUUUCUUAGAGUUUUACCUUUUCCUAUGGCAGUUGGACUUGUUGUCCAAAGUAGUUUAGGACUUUAUUUCCUUAUUUUUAGGUAGAAUUUCGUGACCCCUGUCUAUAUAAAUGGGUAUCUACUUUGCUUUUAGACUUAGACUAUUAUUAAUAAAAAAUAUGAUAUUUUUUUUGCACUCUUGUGUGUGGCUACUCUUGGAUAUAUUCUUUAACCUUCAAGACUCAACUUAAGGUGGUAAGAUUAAACUCUUUCGAAAUCUUAGAACACUUCUAGGUAUUCAAGAAAGGUGAUAAGUUUAGUCUUAUUGUUGUUCUUGUUAUUCCCAAGGGUCGGGUUUCACAAUCUAUCUCUUGUUUUGAAUUAUCUAUCAAAGGCAAUUAGUUAUUCGUUUGCUAAUUGUAGUUGUUAGGAUUCAACUUCAAGAAUAGACUUCUUGAAUUCAAGAAAUUCUUUCUUGAAUUCAAUCUAUCUUUAAUUUCUCUCUUCAAUUUCGUUUCCCUAUUUUCUUUUCGCUUCCACACAUUUCUUGAUUUUCUUAUUUUUUCUUUAGUAAUUCUUGAAUCCCUUAUCGUGCUGUUAUCAAGUGCUAUCAGAGUAUAGGCUAAUCAAGAUUUCAAUCUUGAUAAUCUUGGGAGGUUCUUGAGCAAAAAAUACCAAAAAUAAAACAUAAAAACAAAAAAAAAAGAAAAUCAGCCCCAAAAAAAGUGUUAUUGCUCAUUAUUAUUUUUAGAAUUCAAGUAUUAUUUGGUUUCCAGGUCAAGAAAGAAAACAAGAAGAGGGGAUCCUUGUUCUUGAAGAUUAAGGAAACUUCUUUCCUUAUUCUUGUGGGUUUUGGGUUUCCUAAAUUCUUUCCUUUUUUUCUUCCUACUAACCAAUUCAUAUUCUUCCUAGGUUUGGUCAUUCAUUUUUUUUUUGUUUUUCUAACUCCAUAUUCUUAUCAUUAAGGGUUGUGACUAGUAAGAUUUAUUAAUAAAUCUAAAAAUUAAUGACCAAUGAGUGAAAAAAGGCAAAAGAGAUGAGAACGUCAGAGGGAAAAGCCAAAUUGAGAGAUAUAUAUUGUUUUGUUCAAGAUGUCUAGUACAAGUAGUGAUGAUGAACGAAGGGUUCUUCAAGAAGCCUAAAUCAAAGGAAGGAAUGAUUUCACCUUGCAAGCUAUGCACCAACAAUUUGAAAUGUGAAAUUUGCAAUUCCAAGAGAUGAGGGACACCAUUACUGAGCAAAAUAUUAUAAUAGCUGAACUUAGGAGGGGAAAUAAUGCUAGACCCCAAGAUAGGAGAAAUGUACCCCCUGAUCCCAUUGUAAAUCAAGAAAAAUCUAUAGAUGAUUUUAAUGAUGAUAUUGAUUUUGAUAGGAUAAGAAGAGAUAGGAGGGGACAAGGAGAAAGACUAGAAGAUGAUAAUAUAAGUAGUAUAAAGAUGAAGAUGCCAUUUUUCAAGAGAACAAGGGAUUCAAACUUGUACCUUGAUUGGGAGAAAAAGGUUGAAGCCACUUUGACUGCCACAACUAUUCUGAGGGUAAGAAGGUUAAACUUGAUGCUUUUGAGUUAUCUAACUAUGCAACAGUCUGGUGGAAGUUUUCUAAGGACAGAUUGCAAGAAGGACAAGCACUCAUUGCUACUUGGGCUGAGAUGAAGAGGGUAAUGAGGAAGAGAUUUGUGACAUCACACUUUCAAAGAGAUCUACAAUAACAUCUUCAAACUUUGAAUCAAAGGUCCAUGUCCGUGGAUGAAUAAUUUAAGGCUAUGGAUAUGGCUUUGAUACAAGCUAAUUGUAUGGAGGAAGAAGAGGCUACAAUGGCUAGGUUUUUAAUGGUUUAAAUAAGGAAAUAGCUGAUGUAGUAGAAUUACAACAAUAUAUAACUUUAGAUGAGUUAGUUGAAUUAGUUGGAAAGGUAGAAAGACAAAACAAAAGGAGACAGCAAUCAAGUUCACGGAGAAGCCGGCCAACUACCAUUCCAAAUAAGCAAUGGCCAAGAUCUGAGGAAACACCUACUCCUAAAUUCCAUGAAGACAAGGGCAGGAGUAAAUUGGAAUCCAAGGAGGGGGGUAAGCCUUUUAUGCCUAAAACUUCUAAUUCUACUUCUUAUACUCAAUGUCUCAAGUGUCAAGGGAGAGGGCAUAAGGCUUAUGAAUGCCCAAGUAGAAGAAACAUUCUAAUCAAAGAAGAUGGGGGAUAUGAGAGUGAAAAAAGUGAACCAAGUGAACCAAGUGAAGAACAAGAUGAAAAUUUUGUAGAGAGUGAAGAAGGAGAAGAGAUGGAGUACAUUGAUAGUGGGGUGAAUUUUGUGGUUAGGAGGAUUAUGCACAUUAAUUUGGGCCACUUUAAUGAAGAAUAAAGGGAAACAUAUUCCAUAUUCGGUGUGGGAUUAAAGACAAAAUUUGUUCUAUGAUAAUUGAUAAUGAGAGUUGUGAUAAUGUUGUGAGUGCAUAUUUGGUAGAAAAGUUAGGGUUGGAAUGAACGAAGCACCCUAGACCUUAUAGGUUGCAAUGGUUCAAUGAUAGUGGAUAGGUCAAGGUGAAUAAGCAAUGCAUGAUCUCCUUCAAGAUUGGAAGGUACGCUGACGAAUUUCUAUGUGAUAUAGUACCCAUGCAACCUUGUCAUAUCUUGUUGGGGCGUCCGUGGCAGUAUGAUAAGAGUGCUUUUCACGAUGGGAGGAAAAAUAGAUACUCUCUUGAGCAUAAUGGCAAGAAGUACAUUCUUGCACCUUUAACUCCUUACAAAGUGUAUGAAGAUCAAAAACAGAUGAAAGAAUCAAUGGGGAAACAUGGGGAGGGAUCAAAACGAGAGACUAAGGGGAAAGAAAAAGAGGGAAAAUAUGAAGUGAGGUGUGAGGAGAGAGAGGGCAGCAAUGAGAGAAAUUAAAAGGAGGGGAAGAGUGAAAAAAAAAAGAAAGCAUUGGUGAGAGGAAAGAGGCUAAGAUUGAAAAGAAAGUGAGCUUUGCAAAAGCCAAAGAGUGUUUAAUUGCAAAAAAAGAGGGGCUGCCUAUUAUCUUGCUCACUUAUAAAGAAGUUCUACUUAAUAAUGAUUCACUAACAUCCUCUUUGCCUAGUGUUAUUUCUAACCUUUUGCAGGAUUUUGAAGAUGUUUUUCCUGAGGAUCUUCCUAAAGGUUUUGUCACGCCCCAAACCUGGGGAGGCGUGGCUGGCACCCGGUGCCGUACUGGUCCGAGUGAACCACUUUGUAACUUCUUUUUAUUUUCUUUUGUAACUAUCAUGGGCCAACAUGGCCACAACUCGUAAUGUACAACUAUAAGUGAGCAAACACUAUAUCAAUGAACCAUCUUUCUUAAAACAUGAAUACAUAAGGGGCCGUCAAGGCCUCCGACAUACUAUACAAAAUAAACCUAUGUCUACAAAGACUCUAAGAUUAUUUAAUAUCAAAUGGGACAGGGUACCGGCCUACCCAUAUAUCAUAGCAUAACUCUAACACGAUGACUCAUAGACUCGGCUGAACUCCGAAUGAGGUGGAGUAUUACCGAUCCUUCGCUGAAUGCCAAUCUCGUACUAUGAGGGCUUGUCAAACUGAUUAUCUAUACCUGCAGGCAUGAAUGCAACAUCCCCAACAAAAGGACGUCAGUACGAAUAAUGUACCGAGUAUGUAAGGCGGAACUGAAACAUAACAAUAAAUCAACAUUAAUUAAAGACAUAUAAGAAUCAACCUGAAUCUAUAAAGUGCCAUCGUAUAUGCAUACUUAUUAUACUUAUAUAUAAUGCUUCUCUUUGAGACUUUUAUCCAUAUCGUAUGAUACAUGACUGCCCAACUGAUCAGUGGUAACUGCCCGACCGGCCGUAGCACGGUGGUAAAUGUAUGACUGCCCGACCGGCCGUAGCUCGGUGGUAAAUAUGUAACUGCCCAACCGGUCGUAGCACGAUGGUAAAUAAAUAUGCAUGACUGCCCAACUGGUGGUAAAUAAUGAUACAUAACUGCCCAACAGGUGGUAAAUACAUGAUGCAUAUAAUACCAUUAUGAACAUUAAUAUCUUUAUCAUAUACCUCAAUAAAGACAUCUAAGCAAGACUUUAAGAGUCAUUGUUUUGAAAUUGGGGGGGCAGCCACAUUAAGUCUCCUUAAACAUAUCCAAAUUUUCAUCCCUUCUCCUUAAUUAACUUAUUAAUCUCCCACUAAUCCAAUAAUUACCCAAUUAUCCACAUAAUGAGAAUUAUCCCAAAUUACUUAAAAUACUAUUCACUUUUAAUAUACCUCAUACACCUUACUAUCAUAGUCAUAUGGUACCAUAUAAAAUCAAUAUAUACACUAUUAUUUCAUUAAAACAUCCAUGUAAAAAUACAUAUAUUUUCUCAACUUCUAAUUUUCCUAAUCUCAUAUAAAGAUUACNNNNNNNNNNNNNNNNNNNCUUUACAAUAAAGAAAAUCUCAUAAACUUUCUCAUAUUCUGUGUAAAAUUUAAAGCAUAUUCGAAAGUAGAAAUAUUAAUAACUAUAUAAAAUCAUAUUUUUCAAACCUUGUUUUACAAAAAUGUUCCACUCAAAAUAUCAUAUCAAAUGUAUAUAACGGUAUCAAUGUUGUUAAACUUACGGGGUCUUAAAAUAACAUAGUCACAAAUCCUCUAUAACAUCAUGAAUGGUCUUAAUCCCUUCAAGCUCAUAUGGAUUACUAUGAUUGAUCCUAAUAUUAAAGUACGGGAUGUAAUAGGUUUACCACCUUUAAGAGGAAUAGAGCAUCAAAUUGAUUUUGUGCCGGGAUCAAAAAUUCCUAAUAGGCCUGCUUAUAGGAGCAAUACCGAAGAAACAAAAGAAUUGCAAAGACAAGUAGAGGAGCUGCUUGAUAAAGGAUUUGUAAGCGAAAGCAUGAGUCCCUGUUCUAUGCCCGUACUUUUGGUGCCAAAAAGGAUGGCAAUUGGAUGAUGUGCGUUGACUACCACGCCAUCAAUAAAAUAAGGGUAAAGUAUCGCCAUCUUGUUCCUCGUUUAGAUGAUAUGCUUGACCAAUUGCAUGGUUCUCAAAUAUUCUCUAAAAUUUAUUUGAAGAGUGGAUAUCACCAAAUUAGAAUUAAUCCUGGAGAUGAAUGGAAAACUGCCUUUAAAACUAAAUAUGGAUUGUAUGAAUGGUUAGUGAUGCCGUUUGAGUUAACUAAUGCACCUAGUACAUUCAUGAGGUUAAUGAACCAUACCUUUAAGGAUUUUCAUGAAAAAUUUAUAGUCGUUUAUUUUGAUGAUAUUCUGAUCUUUUCUAAGUCUUUAGAAGAGCAUGUCAAACAUUUGAAAUAAGUUUGCAGUGUGCUUAGGGAGCAACUAUUUUAUGCAAAUCUAUCCAAGUGCACUUUUUGUGUUAAUAAGGUAGUUUUCUUGGGUUUUGUUGUGAGUUAUAGAGGUAUUGAGGUAGAUGAAGAUAAAAUCAAAGAGAUUAAAGAUUGGCCUACACCUAAGAGCAUUACUGAAGUUAGAAGUUUUCAUGGACUUGCUAGAUUUUAUAGGAAAUUUGUUAGAGAUUAUAGUUCAAUUGUUGCACAUUUAACGGUAGUCAUUAAGAAGGAUAAGGUCUUUAAUUUGGGAAAAGAACAAGAGCAUGCAUUUAAUAUUUUGAAGGAUAAAUUGUGUUCUGCUCCUUUGUUACAAUUAGUUGAUUUUAAUAAGUCCUUUGAAAUUGAAUGUGAUGCAUCUGGUAGAGAUAUUGGGGCUGUUUUAAUGCAAGAUUCUAAACUAAUCGCUUAUUUUAGUGAGAAGUGGAAUAGGGCUGCAUUGAAUUAUUCUACUUAUGAUAAAGAAUUGUAUGCCUUUGUAAGGGCUCUUGCUACAUGGCAGCAUUAUUUGUGGCCAAAGCAGUUUGUGAUAAAACUGACAAUGAGUCUUUAAGAUAUUUGAAAAGCCAAGGUAAAUUGAGUAGAAGACAUGCCAAAUGGGUUGAAUUCAUUGAGACAUUUCCAUAUGUGAUUAGCUACAAGCAAGGCAAAGACAAUAUAGUUAUUGAUGCGCUUUCAAGAAGGUACGCUCUUGUUUCUACUUUUACUUCUAAAUUAAUGGGAUUUGAUCAUAUUAAGGAUUUAAAUGUUGAUGAUUCUGAUUUUGAUGUAGCAUUUUUAGCAUGUUUAAAUGGGCCUUUUGAGAAGUAUAAUCUUAAAGAUGGGUUUCUUUUUAAAGAGAAUAAGCUUUGUGUCCCUAAUUGUUCUUUGCGAGAAAUUUUGUGAGGGAAGCACAUUGUGGGGGGCUUAUGAGACACUUUGGUGUGCCUAAAACACUUGACAUCCUUGCUGAAAAUUUAUUUUGGCCUAAUAUGAGAAAAGAUGUAGAAAGAUUUUGUGCUCAAUGCGUUGAAUGCAAACAAGCUCAAUCUAAAGUGUUGCCACAUGGUUUAUACACGCCUUACCUGUGCUUAUUUCACCUUUGAUUGAUAUUUCGAUGGACUUUGUGUUAGGACUGCCUAGAACAAGGUAUGGUAAGGAUAACAUCUUUGUUGUGGUAGAUAGGUUCUCAAAAAUGCCUCGUUUUAUUCCCUUUUUAAAGACUAAUGAUGCUUCUCAUGUUGUUGAUUUAUUUGUUAGAGAAGUUGUUAAAUUGCAUGGUAUACCUCGAACUAUUGUUAGUGAUAGGGAUGCUAAGUUUCUAGGCCACUUUUGGCGUGUGCUUUGGGGAAAAUUGGGAACAAAAUUGUUGUUUUCUACUUCUUGUUAUCCACAAACUGAUGGGCAAACUGAGGUAGUAAAUAGAACCUUAUGAAGUAUGUUAAGGGCUGUUCUAAAAGAAAAAUUAACUUCUUGGGAGGAUCACUUGCGUAUGAUAGAAUUUGCUUACAAUCGAACUGUUCAUUCAUCUACUAGUUAUUCUCCUUUUGAAGUUGUUUAUGGCUUUAACCCCCUUAUACCCCUUGACUUAUUGCCUUUGCCUACUAAUGAGAUGGUUAGUCUUGAUGGAAAAAGGAAAGCUGAUUUGAUGAAUACUAUUCAUGAGCAUACGAGACUUGCAAUUGAGAGGAGGAAUGAGCAAAUAGCUUGAUGAAGAAAUAAAGGUCGAAAACUAGUUAUCUUCGAGCCUGGUGAUUUGGUUUGGGUUCAUAUGAGGAAAGAGAGAUUUCCUUCAAAAAGGAAGACAAAAUUGCACCCUAGAGGAGAUGGGACAUUUAAAGUACUUGAAAGGAUUGGAGAUAAUGCUUACAAAUUGGACCUUCCUGGUGAGUUUCAAGUAAGUGCUACUUUUAAUGUUGCUUACUUAUCCUUGUUUGAUGUAGGUUCAAAUUCGAGGACGAAUUCUUUUCAAGAAGAGGAGAAUGAUAGCUCCACGGACAAGGAUAAAGCUUUAGAAGCACCAAGAAAUCUAUUCACAAGGUCUCAAGCUAAGGAGAAGCAAGAGAAGGUUGUUGGGCUUCAAUGGGAGAUUAAGAAGCUGCUAAUGGUGGAAGAAGAGCUCAAGAAUUAUGGAGAGGAUUUAGCCAAGUGCUACACUCAUUUCAUGGUCCAAGUCCAAGUCCAAGAGGAGGUCGAUUGGGGUCCAAGCACCAGCCAAGGAGGGCCUAAAUUAGGUGCCUAAAUCAACCCACAAAGGAGCUAACUUGGCGCCCAAGUCAACGCAGGGGGGCCGGCCAAGAAAUAGGAGAAGGAUUCAAAGUUCCUUAUUUUGUUUCCUAAUUUGUUCGGACAUAUUUGAUGCUUUCCUAGGUAGUUAAGGUUUUAUUUUUUUUUUUCCUAAGAUUAUUGGAAUAACUUUCCAAGAUUGACUUGAUUUUUUUUUCCUAGAGUUUUACCUUUUCCUAUGGUAGUUGGACUUGUUGUCCAAAGUAGUUUAGAACUUUAUUUUCUUAUUUCUAGGUAGAAUUUCGUAGCCUCUCUCUAUAUAAAGGGGUAUCUUAUUUGUUUUUAGAGUUAGUUUAUUAUCAAUAAAAAUUGUGAGAUUUUUCUUGCACUGUUAUGUGUUGCUACUCUUAAAUUUAGUCUUCAACCUUCGAGACUCAACUUAAGGUGGUAAGAUUAAACUUUUCAGAAAUCUUAGAUCACUUCUAGGUAUUCAAGAAAUAUGAUAAGUUUAGGCUUAUUAUUAUUCUUGUUAUUCUAAAGGGUCAGGUUUCAUAAUCUAUCUCUUGUUUUUAAUUCUCUAUCAAAGGCGAUUAGUUCUUCGUUAGUUAAUUGUUGUUGUUAGGAUUCAACUUCAAGAAUAAACUUCUUGAAUUCAAGAUCUUUCUUGAAUUCAAUCUAUCUUUAAUUUCUAUCUUCAAUUUCAUUUUCCUAUUUUCUUUUAGCUUCCGCACGUUUCUUGAUUUUAUUGUUUUUUCUCUAGUACUUCUUAAAUCCCCUAUCGUGUUGUUAUCAUUGUAUCUGUUCAAAUACCUAUCUAAGUGAAUUCUGUGGAAGUUGAUGCUGUCACAACCCAAUUCCCACCAUAGACCAUGAUGGCGCAUAACGCUACUAUUAGGCAAGCCAACAAUUUAAUCAACACAAUAAUUGGUGGUUCAUAACACGUUUUAAAACAAUGGUGAAAUAAUUAAGCGAGAUUUGCUCUAUUUUAAUAUAAAAUACUAAUAUUAUCUUUAUAAUUAGAAUAUGAUCAAAAUGCAAUACUGAAUGACGUAACAGAAAUACAUCCAAGAUUAACAGACUAAAUUCCCAAAAUCUGGUGUCACAAGUGUAUGGGCAUCUACUAGAAUGUACAAUACUACUAUAAAAACUGCCUUGAAUAGAAAAUAGACAAAGUACAACAUAUGAUUAGGAAGGGGACUCCAUGUGCUGCGGAUCAUAGCAUAUACAACAGCUCACCAUAAAGUUUCAUCAGCAAUUGCGCCUACGCACCGGUAUGACCACCAAACUUACAUGUCUCAGUACCUAUACAAUUAGUGUUGAAGUGUAGUGUGAGUACGUAAAUCAACUUGUAGGUAAUAAGUAUCUAGCCUAACCUCAAAGAAGUAGCGAUGAGGGGUCGAUAUCGGCACUUACUAGUGGUCCAAUAAUCAAAUACAAUAAACACAGACAGGUAUGAAGAAUAGCCAGUAAAAGCAACGAAAAUAGGUAUAUGUGCAUAACACGAUCCUCAAUAGAAAAGUGGAUACAAAAUCCUCAAAUAUCGAAUACUACCUCGAAUGGGGCAAGUAUAUGAUCAAUAACAAAUAAAAUACCAAAUCGUAAGUCAGGAAGACUCAUAGGUACGUUGAACCUCGAUCGAAUAUAACACACGAUUCUGUCGAGGUCGUUUGGCUCGAUCCAUAAAAUAGUGUACACUGUCGAGGUCAUACGACCCAAUCCAUGGAUGCAUCUCAUAAUACUGACGAGGUCGUAUGACCCGAUCCAUAAUAGUAUUGAUGAGGCAUUCAGCCCGAUCCCAUAGAAUAGUGAGACUUUGACAUGUCACUUGCCCAACUCACGAAUAUGUGUGAGUUAUGAAAUUCCAGAAACUUUCAGAUAUAUAUUCACAAUGCGGGUGAAAUCUGUAAGAAAAGGUAAAAUAUCUGUGGCUAAUCAAGUAGCAAGUCAAGUAUCUGAAAUAGCAAAGUUCAAUACCUUACGCAAAUCUAGUCUCGGGUUAAAGCAUAAAUUAAAGUAUUUAAAUAGACAAGAAUAACUCAAGUAGUACAAUUAAAACAUGGUGUGAGUCUACGUCUACCCGGACAUAAUCAAGAAUCUAGCAUACACACGGACACUCAUCACCUCAUAAGUGCAUAGCUCCCAUAACAUGUUGCACAUAACAAAUACAACACCUGCAGGGUAAAUACCCUCUUACAAGGUUAGACAAGAGACUUACCUCGCUCUAAAGUCCGAUAACUGGCUCCAACGCCUCUCUAACACCUCUACCCGAUGCCAAACUAUCCGAAACUAGCCAAAAACGUGCAAACCAAUCAAAAUAUACUCAAAGACUCAUAAUUAAACAAUUAGAAAUAAAUUCCCAACUCCACACGAGAAGUCAACAAAGUCAACGCCGAGCUCAAGCGCCCGGAUUCCAAAAGUUAUCAAAAUUAAAUAUUACUCAUAACUUAUAUAGUAUAUCCAGAAAAUCAUCCAAUUUCAUCCAUGAAUUUACCCUCAAAUCAAGGAUUUACUAUUUCUCAAUUUUGGGGCUCAAAACCCCAAUUUUUACAAUCCAAACAGAGAUGAAAAUAAUAACCAUCAGAAAUAAUCACGGAAAAACAUCAAAAUAAAGGUUAGAUAUUUACCCUCUUGUUGAUGCGAGAACAACGUCGUGAAAAUCACCUCAAGCGUAGCUCUAGAACUCAAGAUAUGCCUAAAAUACUAAGAUGCUCGGUUUGCCAAUUUAAAACACUGCCCAGGUAAUUUUUGUUCAUCGCCUUCACGGGACGCCAUCACGUUCGCAAAGAGAAAUUUUUCGCAUUCACGGGUCAACCCAAAAUUCCUUUUUCGCGUUCGCGGGACCUCCCUAUCGUUCGCGAAGAACAAAAGUUCACACCAUAAAUCAGCAAUCUUUCCCGGCACGAAAUGGGCAUAACUCUCUCAUACGACCUCAGAAUUCGACGAUUCUUGUUGCUAUAGUUUCGUAAUUACGAUACAGAUCUAAUGGUUCAAUCGAAUAACAAAUAAAAGGUGAUUUCUCAAUAUGAUACCCUUUGUGCCAAAAGAAACGACGCUGAAACAUCAAAUAAGAGUGUGACACAAUCCAAACUCAUCCGAAACUCAUCCGAAUCUAACCAAAACUUGCGGACAAGUCAAAAAUAUUUAUACAAACCUAUUGAAAUUUUUAAUUCAGGAAUCCGAGCUCAUUAAGUCUACUAUUUGACCGUGGUCAACUCAUUUUCUUAAACUUAACUAGUAUGCAACUUAAGUGUUCGUUCACUCUUAAACAUUUCGAAUCACGACCAAACUUCACACACAAGUCCCAAUCAACUAAAUGAACAUAUUAAAGGUCCUGGAACACCACCUGGAGUCCGAUAACACCGAAGUCCACUCCAAGUCAAACUUGGCAAAUUCAAAAACUUUCAAAAAUGUAAUCUUCUGAAAAUAAGCGUCAAAUCGCUCCCGGACCACCCAAUAUUCAGCCCGAACAUACUCCCUAGUCCGGAAUCACCUUACGAACCUGUAGGAACCUUCAAAUUCCACUUCCGAGGUCAUUUACUCAAAAGUCAAACCUAGAUCAACUCUUCUAACUUAAGCUUUCGAAUUGAGAAUUAUUCUUCCAAAGCAACUCUGAACUUCCUGAAAUCAAAACUGACUACACGUGCAAGUCAUAAUGCCGAUAGUGAAGCUACUCAAAGUCAUAAACCGCCGAACGACAUGCUAAAGUUCAAUAAGACUUGCCGGGUCGUUACAUCCCCCCCCCCCCCCACUUAAAUAUAUGUUCAUCCAUGAACAUGCCAAGAGUAACUCAUCAUGCAAAAUACCCAUGCCAUCUCAAUCCAUAUAAGCACAUUAGCACAACCCCUACUGAAGAUCCUUCCUGCGACCUUAUCCCACAAGUCUUAGAACCAUGUUCCAACAUCCUGAAUUUCCUAUAAGGUCUGAUUCUAUCAUAGAUACAUUGUAACAAUCUCAACAAGCUGUACCAAAACAUAAUCAUACACCCAAGUUGUAACCAUACAAUGCACCGCAUAAUUCAUAUCCAAUAGUAAUAUCUUCCAACCACAAUAGCUGAAAUUUCUGAACCCGGUGCCGGUAAUAUACCUCAUGACACAUAAAAAUCUUGUUCCAAACCGCACAAUACUGCAACAAUGAAAGAGAUGUGCAGAAUCUCAUAACCAUCCGUCAAAUCAAUAAAUCAUGGGGUUCUUCCGUUCGAUAAGAACCAUUGCCGCAUUCUGAACUGAUUAGCGAUAUUCUCCUUCCAGGUCCAACAACCUCAUCUCACCCAAUACAAGUUGCUCGGCCGACAAGCCACAUCAGAAACCAUCUAAAAUCUUAUACAAUAUGACCCGAGCAUCAAACAAGAUACAACUCGAAUAUGACCAAUAAGGAAAGGAGCCCCAAGUAUAGGAACUAACCCGCAUACAUAGCAGAUAUAACAAUGAAACAAAAUGCUAUGAAUCUAUCCCACGGAUGAGAAACAAAACACACAAAAUAAGUAUAAGGAACCGUACCCAACAUCUCACCGUUUCCGCAUAUAACUCGUUCCACACAUGAUACCAUUGCGGCGUGCAACCCGAUCCAAAUGCAUACAAUAUGCAUGGGAAUACCCAUCGAGCCAAAUUCUCAUACUCACUAGACAUACGUACAUCAACCAUAUGUGCAUAAACAUAAUUCUGGGGAGAGGAAUAGCAUCAUGCGCUACAAAAUGCCAAGCACGACCAAGGUGCAAUAAACAAACAAGCAUCUCGAGAGCCAUCUCGCUCAUAUAACACCAUAGAGCCUACAUAGGACCACAACACGCAUGUGAAUAAUCAAUCCACAUAGCAUAAAGAGUAACACAUAAAAUAGAUGAUGACAAGAAUAGCAUCCACCAUGCCUGGAGACUCAUCCAUAGACAAAUGCUGGGCUGAAAUAACAUAUCCAAUCUGGUGUAGAAUAUACAUUCGCGUUAGGCCCGCCAAUGGUCCUCUAAACCUAUUCUGAACAUCUCAACAUAGGUAAAUAGACUUCUAAAGAUCAACAAUGACCAUAUCCAUGACACCCACAAUCUACCGUCAAACCCUGAACAAACUUUCACAGUCUGCAACCAAAGGAAUAUGGCGUCUCUCCAAUUUGCGACAAUGCUAUAAUUGUCAUACAUGAUCUCAAUCUCCCACUUAAAUGACUGACACGUCACAUCUACACAAUCAUCCCAUGAGAGAUACUUCCACAACCUUCCACACCAAGUAAAUCAAUCACUACACCCAUGGCUACCGACCAUGCUAUUUCUGUAGUGCUAAUCAAGAAUCCGCAAACCGAUAAAAUGCCCCUUCCACAGAACACACAAUUCUUAGGCGACACUAAUAUAGCACCAGUAUACUCGGAACAUUCAAAAUCUCCCCCGCUCCUUUGAACUCGUGACAUCCCUGUCAAAACUGAACCAUAACCUUGGCCCCCUCAAGUCCCAAUUCAACACAACUCGUCGCAUCCACUAUGCUAUCGUAUGGAGAUACGAGAUUCUCGUUAUAAAUUUUGAAUCACAAGUAGAAUGAGCACUCCAUCAUUUUGAAACUUUUCACUUAACUCAUCUCUGGAGAAAAAUUGUAACACACAACCAACUUCCCAUAACCAAAGAAGAAACAAAUCUCAAGUCGUGGUCGAACCGUCAUAAACUCUUUGGGUCCCAUCUGCACAUAACUGAGCCAUCAAAACCGAGUCUUCUACAUCAACUGAAACAUGCAGACUGACAAAUCGAUAAGUUAUUACCAUAACACUUGAGUAGCCUUAACAUAUAGAAGGAACCGAUCAUUUCCCCUAUCAUGCUGAUCCAACCCACUACUAAACGGACCCAACUCCUCAGUUUUCUUUGACUUACCUUCAAAAUAAUACCUCUCUUUUCUAGCACAGAAUGGACCUCAAUUGACACUCAUCCCGAGUGACCCCAAAUCACCAGACCACGUCAUCUCAAUACCCAUAAGCUAUUUUAUAUCCUCUCAUACACUCAACCAUUCUGAGGAGACUUUCUGGUAAUCCAAAGUUAUUUUUUCUAUCUCUGUAACACCACAUCGCACACCCGACGACAACAUAGAAAUACUCUAAGUCUCUUUCACAAUCCGCUGCAAUACUCAAUUCUUAGCCACGUAACGAACACGAAAAUUCUUAGGCACCCACUUUAAAUCUUGAACCCACUAGAAUCAUUGUUGAGAGUCGCCCACCAUAAGCUAGUCCUAAAUACAUAGUCAAACUACCAGUUUUCGUUAGCACACAAAUACUCCAAAAGAAGCAAUCGAAUGAAUCCAUUCCCUUACACAUCACAUUCACAAAGAAGAAUCAAGUUUGAGUCAUUCCACAAUCUUUACAUAAAUUGAUAAAGCGAAAUGUAGCACACAUCCAUCAAAUUCCUUGCUCGAAUUACCCCCGAUGUCCUUCUCUUCAAGUUAUAACCAAUCCACCAAUAGGGGUGGACGUUCAGGCAAUUCGGAAUGGAUAUGAAAACUUUGGUUUGGAUUUUCAGUUUUCGGAUUGAAGAAAUGACAAUCCAAAUCCAAUCAAGAUAAACUCAAAUUGGAUCGAAUUUUUUAAGUUUUGAUUUGGAUUAACCGCUUUGAAUAUUUCUGAUUUUUGAUUUUAAACUUAUAAGUUGAGAUGUUUCUUCUUACGAUAAUGAACAUCCAAAUAAGGUAUUCAUGUUAAAUUAUUUAAAAAGUUCCUCAUUUCAUCGCAAUUAUCCAAAUAAAGUAUUCAAGUAAUAAAAUCAUCAUCAAGGAAAUACAACAAAGACAUAAGUAAGGCCAACAAGAAGUAGCAAUAGUAAAAUCAUGUCCAAAUAAAAAGUAUUCUAAUAGUAACUUACCAUAUUGAAUAUAUGAGAUUAUGUCUAAUGGUUAUGAUAUUGUACUUGUUACUACUGGCAUAUGAAUAAUGGACUAAAUAUAAAAUAUAAAAAAUUUGAAUUUUCGGAUAUCCAAAAAUCUAAAGUACCAAAUCUAAUUUCCAAUUCGAAUUCCAAAAAUUUUAAAAUUAAAUCCGAAAUACAAUCCAUAAUCCGAAAAUCAAUACAAAAAAUCCAAACAAUUCAGAUUUCGAUUUAGAUUUCGGGUUUGCCCAAACGAUGCCCACCCAUAUCCACCAAUGUACUGAAAUCCAGAAUUUGCAAAGACACAUGACCACGUGCCCCAAUAACCGACGGCAGGCUCCCCUACUUGGAUAUAAGCCACAAUCAUAUAACCCAAGAACCCACAAUGACUGUAGUCAACUCAUAUUCUUAAACUUAGCUAGUAUGAAACAUAAGUGUCUGAGUCACUCUUAAACAUUCUGGAUCAUGACCAGAUUUCACACACAAGCCCCAAUCAACUAAAUGAACCUAUCCAAGGUCCCGGAACACCACCCAGAGUCCGAUAACACCGAAGUCUACUCCAAGUCAAACUUAGCAAAUUCAAAUACAUAUAAAAUGCAACUUCCGACAAUAAGCGCCAAAUCGCUCCCGGACCACCCAAUACUCAACCCGAACAUACGCCCUACUCCGAAAUCACCUUACAAACCUAUAGGGACUUUCAAAUUCCGAUUCCGAUGUCGUUUACUCAAAAGUCAAAAUCCGGGUCAACUCUUCUAACUUAAAGCUUCCGAAAUUAAGAAUUAUUUUUCCAAAUCAACUGUGAACUUCUCGAAAUCAAACUGACUACAUGUGCAAGUCAUAAUACAUAUAGUGAAGCUACUCAAAGUCUCAAACCGCUAAAUAAUAUGCUAAAGCCCAAAAUGACUGAUCGGGUCGUUAUACAUGCCUUGACUUUUAUAACUGAAAAGCAUGUCUAGUUUCCCUUCGAUUGUGUUAAGCUGGACUUGUUACUAUUUGAGUUGCUUUUCUUUAUAUGCUAUUAUUUUGUUGUUAUUGAUAUUUUUGGCUGUGGAAAUAGAGCAUCGGACCUUUCCAAGAUCGUCGUUGCUUUCAACCCGAGGUUAGGCUUGCUACUUAUUGAGUACAUGGGGUCGAUUGACUCAUACUACACUCUGCACUUCAUGUACAGAUCUAGGUGUUGCUGAUAGUGGCGGUUGCCCGUGAGUCGAAUCCGAACUAGCUUGGAGAUUUUGAGGUAGCACUGUUGUUCCGCUCACAGAUCUUGAAGUCCCCUCUUUUAUCGUAUGUUCUUACUAUUCAGUCUUCCGGACAGUAUUGUAUUUUCUUUAGACUUAGUAUUUAGGAUUCUAUAGGGCUCAUGCACUCGGUGACAUUAGAGUUUGGGGUGGAUUCAUUUGUAUUGACAUUUUAACAUGAAUUAUUUAUACCAUUGCACUUUUGAGACUAUUACUUAUCAUUAUUGAAGUCUAUUUCUGCAUAUUUGUUGUAGUCUUGCCUAGCAAGCGGUGUUAGGCGUCAUCUCGUGAAACCUAAGUCUAGUUAAGGAGGUAAUUCAAGAAUAAGAUGUAUAGAAAACGAUUUUAUCAUUACAAACUACUUAGUUGCAUUAGAGGGGAGGGGACCUAAGUUUUUAAUCCUAAUGGACCAACUCCCAUGCAAAGUCUGCUAAGACUUUUAUAGCCAAAGUGCAAUUGCUAUUUGGGCAAUUUGUGUAUAAUCUCCACCUACCUUCAUUGUUGUCUUUAAGUUGUUAAACUAGCGGCACACUAGUUAAUUCUAAAUCGCGUCUUAGAAUAGCUACUCGUCCCUUCCUAUAGUCCAAGAGGCUUUGAACACUAUUCUAAAGGGAUGAUUCUAGACUUAAAUAAAAUCUUAGAUUUCUAUUUUUAUUCUUAUCAGUAUCACAUAAGAAAACAUGUUGGAAUUGAGCAAAUAAUACACAAGCAAAUACAAGGGCUCAAAUUGGCCUCUCAAGUAGACUCUUCAUAUGAGGGGGCAUAUUGAUCAUAUGCACAGACUAUUACUAGGCAUGGUGAAGUCUUAUUUUUACCUUAUAAGCAUGAUAUCUAGGUGAAUGAGUCAUAGGAAGUGUCGAAAGACUUGACAUUUUUGAAUUAAUUAAUCGAAACCUAUGAACAUUAUAUCUAAGUGACUGAGUUAGGCAUUUAUUUGCAUUAAAUAAAAAGAACUAAGCAGAUUAAUACGGAAGCAAUUGAGUAUCACAAGUUGAUUUACUGUAUCCUAUGGUGUCUAGUUGACCAGGAAUUAUUAGAAUUAUGUUAGACCUAUAGGCAUGUUUUCUAGGCAUGUGAGAUAAAAUCAAUAAGGACAACUUAAUUUAGCAUAUAUAGGUUCAAUGGCAUGCUUCUCGCGACGAGCAGAUUCACAAAGACAAUCAAAUAUUCCAAGUGAGAUAGUGCCCCUAUAGACAUGAUAUCUAGACGGUCGAGUUAAGUUGUUAAAUCCUAUGAACUAGAUGUCAAAGUGACAAGUAUAAUCAACACAAGUUGAAUCCUCCAAGGUGUAUGUGCGUGUACGCGAUCGAAUACGAGAAAACAGAUUUAGCAUAUAAACUAUUUGACUUUCGGUAUAAACAUAGGCAUGAUUUCUAAUAACAAGUAGCAUAUAAAAAAUUAAGACCUAUGAGCUGGUUUUCUACCCGAAAAUGCAUAUAAAUAAACCCCCCAAGCCCGUUUCACUAUAUCCCCAUAGUUGUUUUGUAGUAGGAUAUUACAGCCCAAAUAAGAGAAAGAAAUAAUUACAAGCCUGAAUGAAUUAAGAUACAAAAACAAAUAGCCAUGAACCUAGAUGACCAUUGGGCCUUCAAAAUCCUCUUUCGUUAUGUCCAUAAGCCUAGAAGCCAGCAGCAAUAGAAAAUAGCCAAAACAACCAACUCCAGAUCCAACUUAGACCAAAAUUCUUUCACCUUGACUCAUACCAAUAUAUUAAUGGCUAAACAUGAGUGUGACUCCCUAUAGACAGGUUCUCUAAGACACACAGGUCAUAGGCCAAUUUGUAGAUACAAAGUUCAGCGGAAAAUACACCAAAGGUUCCUAUAGACAGGAUUUUUACCUUUAAAAAAAUUCUUUGGUUCUUAGUUCAUAAUGGUCAAUUUACAUAGAGCUCUUUUAGGUCCAACAAAAAUGAACAUAGGGCCCAUAAGGACAUGCAUUCUACCAAGUGAAAAAUUACUCAAACAAAGUCGAAUAGCACAAGUAGACAUAGAAGAAGCUUNNNNNNNNNNNNNNNNNNNNNNNNNNNNNNNNNNNNNNNNNNNNNNNNNNNNNNNNNNNNNNNNNNNNNNNNNNNNNNNNNNNNNNNNNNNNNNNNNNNNNNNNNNNNNNNNNNNNNNNNNNNNNNNNNNNNNNNNNNNNNNNNNNNNNNNNNNNNNNNNNNNNNNNNNNNNNNNNNNNNNNNNNNNNNNNNNNNNNNNNNNNNNNNNNNNNNNNNNNNNNNNNNNNNNNNNNNNNNNNNNNNNNNNNNNNNNNNNNNNNNNNNNNNNNNNNNNNNNNNNNNNNNNNNNNNNNNNNNNNNNNNNNNNNNNNNNNNNNNNNNNNNNNNNNNNNNNNNNNNNNNNNNNNNNNNNNNNNNNNNNNNNNNNNNNNNNNNNNNNNNNNNNNNNNNNNNNNNNNNNNNNNNNNNNNNNNNNNNNNNNNNNNNNNNNNNNNNNNNNNNNNNNNNNNNNNNNNNNNNNNNNNNNNNNNNNNNNNNNNNNNNNNNNNNNNNNNNNNNNNNNNNNNNNNNNNNNNNNNNNNNNNNNNNNNNNNNNNNNNNNNNNNNNNNNNNNNNNNNNNNNNNNNNNNNNNNNNNNNNNNNNNNNNNNNNNNNNNNNNNNNNNNNNNNNNNNNNNNNNNNNNNNNNNNNNNNNNNNNNNNNNNNNNNNNNNNNNNNNNNNNNNNNNNNNNNNNNNNNNNNNNNNNNNNNNNNNNNNNNNNNNNNNNNNNNNNNNNNNNNNNNNNNNNNNNNNNNNNNNNNNNNNNNNNNNNNNNNNNNNNNNNNNNNNNNNNNNNNNNNNNNNNNNNNNNNNNNNNNNNNNNNNNNNNNNNNNNNNNNNNNNNNNNNNNNNNNNNNNNNNNNNNNNNNNNNNNNNNNNNNNNNNNNNNNNNNNNNNNNNNNNNNNNNNNNNNNNNNNNNNNNNNNNNNNNNNNNNNNNNNNNNNNNNNNNNNNNNNNNNNNNNNNNNNNNNNNNNNNNNNNNNNNNNNNNNNNNNNNNNNNNNNNNNNNNNNNNNNNNNNNNNNNNNNNNNNNNNNNNNNNNNNNNNNNNNNNNNNNNNNNNNNNNNNNNNNNNNNNNNNNNNNNNNNNNNNNNNNNNNNNNNNNNNNNNNNNNNNNNNNNNNNNNNNNNNNNNNNNNNNNNNNNNNNNNNNNNNNNNNNNNNNNNNNNNNNNNNNNNNNNNNNNNNNNNNNNNNNNNNNNNNNNNNNNNNNNNNNNACAAUAAUUCAGCAAUAAGCAGCGGAGCAAGUUUCGACCAGUGAAUCCCAAGUCCUGGCAAGUUAGAGUUCUGGAGGCCUUUACAAACCUGAGCAAUGCUUAUGCUACAGAGAUGACCGAGUAUAACGAAGAGUUUGCCUUGGCUUUCAGCUGAUAAACAAGAGCAAUCAAGAGAAAGAUGAUAUAAAAAUCGUUGAAUAAUUUCUAUGAUUGUGAGUGAGAAGUGAUGAACGACUGAAGAGCGUGUGGCAAAGAUGAUAAGGAAUCAGUGAUUGGUGCAAGAAAGGAAAGGAAAGAUUGAAAGAUUCCAUGCCGGAUAGGAUUUGAGCGAAAAGGGGCUAGGGUUUCGACUGGUAAAGUGAGAGAAGGUGAGGACAACUUAUCUUAAUCUUAAAAAUAGGAGUUAGGAUUUAGAGGAGGAAUUCUUAUAUGGAUGGGUGAGAUAUAAGAGUCGUAGGAUUAAAAUGAUUAAUGGAUGAGAUUAACAGCUUGUUUGGAUUGUUG